rnacentral:rRNA from 1 species
GAUGAACGCUGACAGCAUGCUUAACACAUGCAAGUCAACUGUGGCGGACGGGUGAGUAACGCGUAAAGAACUUGCCUCACAGUUAGGGACAACAUUUGGAAACGAAUGCUAAUACCUGAUACUGUGAGAGAGCUUUGCGUCCCAUUAGCUAGUUGGAGAGGUAACGGCUCACCAAGGCGAGGAUGGGUAGCCAGCCUGAGAGGGUGAUCGGCCACAAGGGGACAGGGGCACGGCCAUUAGGCCUACGGGAGGCAGCAGUGAGGAAUAUUGGAAGAUGGACCGAAGUCUGAUCAAGCAAUGCGGUGUGCACGAUGAGGUUUUCGGAAUGUAAAGUGCUUUCAGUUGGGAAGCGGUACCAACAGAAGAAGUGACGGCUAAAUACGUGCCAGCCGCCGCGGUAAUAC